AUUAUUAUAAUGUAAAUAACAUAUUAUAUUUUCAAUAUAAAAAUAAGAUAUCUUUAAUAAUG
rnacentral:tRNA from 1 species